UACGAAGGGAGCUAGCGUUGUUCGGAAUCACUGGGCGUAAAGCACACGUAGGCGGAUUUGUCAGUCAGGGGUGAAAUCCCGGGGCUCAACCUCGGAACUGCCUUUGAUACAGCAAGUCUUGAGUUCGAGAGAGGUGGGUGGAAUUCCUAGUGUAGAGGUGAAAUUCGUAGAUAUUCGGAAGAACACCAGUGGCGAAGGCGGCUCACUGGACCGGUAUUGACGCUGAUGUGCGAAAGCGUGGGGAGCAAACAGG
rnacentral:rRNA from 1 species